AUGCUACUGGCUGUGGAAGGAGGAGGUUUUUUCUCAUCGUCAGCUUCAGGAUACAGUCAUGGCCUCGCUCUUUUGCUGCUUGGACGGAAAGAAGAAGAGAAGCCUGUCAAGGUAUCACCAUGGAGUCAGUACCGACUAGUCGAUGGGGAAGCUGAGCAUGUUUGUCAUCUGGCUUCCACGAAAAACCAAGCUCCCCGUAAAUGUGCUCCCUUCAUCUGCUUCGGUAGCACUGCUUUGGAGCUCGAAGGGGCGUCUCCUCCGAAACUGAGUUCAAGCAACACUUUGGACUCUUUGGAGGAGCCAUCCCGUUCAACAAAGAAGAAGGUUACCACUAAUGGUUCCAUAACUGGAGAUGAGAGAAAAGGUUGUCUUAAGAGCAACUCAAAAAGGGAUUCGUCAGAGCACUGUAUAGUGGUGAGUGAAGGUGAAGAACCACGUGAGUCACUGGAAGAGGUGCAAACCUUGAAAUCUGGUAUGGAACGGAGAAAAGUUCAAUGGACUGAUACAUGUGGAAAGGAGCUUUUUGAGAUAAGGGAAUUCGAAGCCAGUGAUGGAAGUUUGUCAGAUGAUGAACUGGAAAAUGAGGGUUUCAGGAAAUGUUUCUCGCCCAAGUGGAUAUCUUGGAUGAAGUCUUUUGUCCGAGGAGGAAGUGUAGCUAUAAAGGCAAACGAUGAUGUAAGACCUUAUGUUCAAACGAAGAAGGGUCUUCGACAGGACGAUCCCCUAUUCAUUAGGCUCUUCAACAUCAUAUAUGACAUGUUGGCCGUUCUAAUUGCUAAAGCCAAAGUUAUUUAUUCAGUUACUCGCUCACUCGGUACCCGGACUAUUCUUCAGAAUUCGGGUUCUCAAGAGUUGGUUGCAGGUUUGCAGCAGCUUGUCAAACAUUUGGAGCGGGUAGUCGUGUUUUACCCAGAAGCAUGGGUGGCGGCCUAG
rnacentral:rRNA from 1 species